rnacentral:lncRNA from 1 species
AUGAGUCAGAUUUAUCUGACUGUAGCUUCUGGUGUCCGCACCUAUAUCCUCAUCUCGAGGGACAGAGGAGGGAGGUCUAGAAAGAAGAAGGUGCAGAGGAUUUAUAUAGAAAGGAGCCACCCAGCACUUGAAAUAGACCAAGGUGGAGUGAGGUGGGGAAGUAUAGAAGUUAUUACACCAGUCUGUGCUAAUUAUCUGCCUGUUUCUUUUGUGCUCUUUCCCAGUGUGGUUGGUAUGGGGCACUCCAGGAGAAUUGGAUUUGGAACGUGGAGUUUGGAGGUUGGGACUCGGAGUACUGUGUCCUAGUCACAAAGAGAGGCAGAGACGCAGAGGGGACUGUCGGCUGGUGCAGGCGGAACCAAAAGAUAUUUAAUCAGCAAUUAGAAACACCUGAGGGCAAGGGAAAUUCUACUCCAGCCUCGAGCUUCAUCUCUCAGCCUGCAGCAUGUAAGUACCGAACUUCUACCUUUUAUUGCAUUUAUGGAGCUGUUUGUUGUUUUUAGGUUGUUAUUA